rnacentral:lncRNA from 1 species
AAAUGCCAGAAUUAAUGGAAAUGCAACUAUUUAAUACCCUAUUAUGCAUAACAGUUACACUAGUCCAAAUGCCACUCGUUCUUUGUGUUCAACACUAACUAGAGUUUAAUCCACAUUAAUCAUGUCAUUAUAGGGUUUCACAACACUAUGUCCCAAUCUCAUGCAUACUAGGUACAAAUAUUAAGCAAACAACACUACACUACCACUAGCAUGCUAUAACAUGUAACAAUACCAAUUAGCACCCUAUAAUGCGAUAUCACAAUAUGCAACUUGAUCAACGAUAACUUAGACAUAGAGAGCAGUUCAACUACUUUGGAUGGUCACCACCCACCUUUUAUAGCAUUCCGAUUGCUCGUCGUCACUCGCAAUCGGCCUCCCGCGGCGCACGCCGCUCGGCUCGACCCAAUUCGCGCGCGACCACCGAACGAUCUCCGAUCCGCUAUCCGGAAAUUAUAGGUCUUCGGUUUCUUGUUACGAUGCUCGGAAUCCGAUCCCACGAUUUAUGGAAGCCGCCUCGACUCCUCGGGUCAGUACAAACCCAUGAACACUCGUUUCAGCGAUAACUUUGCACCCGCUCGACGAAUCGACGAACCGUCUUCGCCAACGCAUUUAAACACCUAGCAAUUAGGUUUACAUAUGAUCAAUUUAGAUCAAACCCUCAUAUUUCUCAAAACCUC